ACUCAGUCGGUUAAGCGACCAACUCUUGAUUUCAGCUCAAGUCAUGAUCUCAUGGUUCGUGGGUUCAAGCCCCACACUGAGCU
rfam:Felis catus isolate Cinnamon breed Abyssinian chromosome B3, whole genome shotgun sequence.